rnacentral:lncRNA from 1 species
UUGACGAAAUCCAAGCUGCCUUCCACCUGUCCAACAACGUAAGUUUGAAGGCGAAUGACCCGAUGAACAAGGCUGCGUUCAACAUUUGCCGGCAGCUCCUCGAGGAUGCCGAUGAGGAGCUCAAUGCUGCCUUCUCGGAGACUCAUGACCUUCAGGGUCUGGCGAGGAGGACCGAUGACAUCAAGACAUGGCUCUCGGCCGUCAUCUCCUACCAGCAGACCUGUCUCGAUGGCAUCACCGAACCGGAGCUCCAGUCCACCAUGAAGGACGGUCUAAGCACGGCCACAAAGGUCACCAGCAAUGCCAUUGCCAUUGUCGAUGAGCUUAGUUCAUUAUUAAAGUCCUUCAAGAUCCCGAUUAACAUAACCAUGGGCAGUCGACGCUUACUGGUCGAUGAGCAAGGGUACCCUUCGUGGUUCUCGGGCCAUGACAGGAAGCUCCUGGCUGCCCAAGCGCGAGGCCAGCUGACCCCUAAUGUGGUGGUUGCUAAGGAUGGGAGUGGAAAGUUCAAGACGAUCAACGAUGCCGUUAAUGCCAUGCCAAAGGAUUACUCUGGGCGGUACGUGAUCUACGUGAAGGCUGGGGUCUACAAGGAGAAUGUCAUCGUUGGCAAGGAUAAGGUGAACGUCCUCAUGUACGGUGAUGGAUCAAGGAAGACAGUCGUGACCGGGAGCAAGAACUACGUCGAUGGCGUGCAAACUGUUGAUACCGCGACCUUCGGUUUGUGCUUUCCUUACUUUCCCAUGUUAUAUAUGCUUCUACUUUACUACUGCACUACUGCAAUAGUAUAGAGCAGAAGGAAAGCUCAUGUUACUGGCAUUCCCCAGCUGCCCUCGGACAAGGCUUUAUCGCCAAGUCAAUGGGGUUCAGCAACACGGCCGGAGCAGAGAAGCACCAAGCUGUGGCGCUCCGCGUGCAGUCGGACAUGUCAGCCUUCUUCAACUGCAGGAUGGAUGCGUACCAAGACACCUUAUACGUGCAGGCCCACCGACAAUUCUACCGCAACUGCGUCGUCUCCGGGACGAUUGACUUCAUCUUCGGCGACUCCUCCACCAUCCUUCAGAACUGCCUCCUGGUGAUGCGACGCCCGAUGGACAACCAGCAGAACAUCUUAACGGCUCAUGGGCGAUCUCAGGCGAAGGAGACCACCGCGCUGGUGAUCCAGAACUGCCGCAUCGUCCCGGACAAGUCCUUGUUCCCGGAGAGGUUGAAGUUCCGCAACUACCUUGGCCGGCCAUGGAAGGCAUACUCGAGGACCAUCGUCAUGGAAUCUACCAUCGGAGACCUGAUCCAGCCUGAGGGUUGGAUGCCGUGGGACGGAGC